AGACUCGGCAAGCAGCAUAUGCAAAACGCUCAAAGGAAGGUCACGUGACCAUGGGUUUAGAUCCCAUGCCAUCCAAGUCGACCAAUUAUAAUAAUUAUGGACAAGCAGAUGAAGAGGACAAGACCUCUGAAAAACCUUGAUAUUAUUACCUUGUUUUACAUGGUAGAUAAACUCUAUUUCUCAUAUUCUAUGAUCUAUCAUCACCAGAAAGUUUCGGAUUGAUAAGGCUCACUCUCAGGAAAAUUUUUCGCAGAAAGAAAAUUUUGCAAAAUGUGAUCGGAAGACCCCAAAUUAAAAAUUUUUAACUUUAAAAAUGAUAUUUUCAGAAUUGAAAAUUUUCUACCCGUGAAAAUCUUUCGUGACAGAAAAUUGGCUUUUUUUUAUAGAUGCCACUACCUGAAAUAAUACAAGGAGAUCUUCGACUUUUUGAGCGAAGGCUUUUCUUCGGAAAUUUAUGCUAUUCUUCGGUAUGUUGAGGUCCUCCUUGUAUUUUUCAGGCGAUUGUAUCCCUAUUAAUCUGAAUCUUUUUUAUUAUUAUUACUAUCUACACUUGCACAGACAUUUCAAUAUUAUCACAAUAGCUACGCACAAACAGUUCUAACUUUUUGCAUGCAGAAAUUCAUUUAUUAAGGUAUAACUAAGUAACUGACUCCAACCAACGAAAUAUUUACUAGAAAUUAAAUAGUAUAUAGUAAGCAAGCGGUUUUAAACUGACUGUCCGUGUUUAUCAUUCGGCGGUUGUAAUUAUAUUAUAUCAAUUUGUUCAUAUAUUUCUUCAAUCAGUUUAUCUUCACUCAAUUAUGGAGACUACUUCACAUUCGACGAGAAAUCGACUUCACCACGACAACGUCUACCAACCAAAUUAAUAUCGAGUUAAAGUUCCAGGCUCCCGAACGCGAUUCCACAUUCCACGGCGGAAUAUUUAGGGUUGCCUGGAAUCAUGAAUUAUGACAGGGGACAUCUCAAAAUAAAGGUUUGAUGAGUGUUGCGACUACGUCUUUAUGACUACGUCUUAUCUUAAGUAAAAUGGAUGAAAGUGUUAGGAAAGCAUACAUACAGUUUCGCGGUGCGCACAUUCAUUCUUGUUGGAUCGAGGUUUUAGAUUCGGAUUUAAAGUUUUCCAACAUUUUGUGUUAUUUGGUUUACACAUCUUUUAAAAUUUCCUCGGACUGUUUUAUUACUUUCAAAAAAUGAAAAAUUGCGUCACGUUGCCGAGUGGCGUCCGUGGUUCCUGGGCCCUUAAAUUCUUUAAGUUCAUCUCCAGUACUAAUUUCGUAUAAUUACAUAAGACAUCAAUGAUGCUUCCUCGCGUGACACCUGGAACAUAUUAACAUUAGAUGGAAAUACUAAUAACUUACUGACCGAGAGUGAGGGCAGUACGGG